CGUGUAGGCGGCCUGGUAAGUCAGGUGUGAAAGCCCUUGGCUCAACCAAGGAAUGUCAUCUGAAACUACCAGACUUGAGUACGGGAGAGGAGAGUGGAAUUCCCGGUGUAGAGGUGAAAUUCGUAGAUAUCGGGAGGAACACCCGUGGCGAAGGCGACUCUCUGGACCGAUACUGACGCUGAGACGCGAAAGCGUGGGGAGCAAACAGGAUUAGAUACCCUGGUAGUCC
rnacentral:rRNA from 1 species